rnacentral:rRNA from 1 species
GAUGAACGCUGGCGGCGUGCCUAAUACAUGCAAGUCGAGCGAACAGACGAGGAGCUUGCUCCUCUGACGUUAGCGGCGGACGGGUGAGUAACACGUGGAUAACCUACCUAUAAGACUGGGAUAACUUCGGGAAACCGGAGCUAAUACCGGAUAAUAUAUUGAACCGCAUGGUUCAAUAGUGAAAGACGGUUUUGCUGUCACUUAUAGAUGGAUCCGCGCCGCAUUAGCUAGUUGGUAAGGUAACGGCUUACCAAGGCGACGAUGCGUAGCCGACCUGAGAGGGUGAUCGGCCACACUGGAACUGAGAUACGGUCCAGACUCCUACGGGAGGCAGCAGUAGGGAAUCUUCCGCAAUGGGCGAAAGCCUGACGGAGCAACGCCGCGUGAGUGAUGAAGGUCUUCGGAUCGUAAAACUCUGUUAUUAGGGAAGAACAAAUGUGUAAGUAACUAUGCACGUCUUGACGGUACCUAAUCAGAAAGCCACGGCUAACUACGUG